CGGCGAGUGAAGCGGCAAUAGCUCAAAUUUGAAAUCUGGCACCUUCGGUGUCCGAGUUGUAAUUUGAAGAAGGUAUCUUUGGUUUUGGCUCUUGUCUAUGUUUCUUGGAACAGAACGUCACAGAGGGUGAGAAUCCCGUGCGAUAAGAUGCCCAAUUCCAUGUAAAGUUCCUUCGACGAGUCGAGUUGUUUGGGAAUGCAGCUCUAAGUGGGUGGUAAAUUCCAUCUAAAGCUAAAUAUUGGCGAGAGACCGAUAGCGAACAAGUACUGUGAAGGAAAGAUGAAAAGAACUUUGAAAAGAGAGUGAAAAAGUACGUGAAAUUGUUGAAAGGGAAGGGCUUGAGAUUAGACUUGGAAUUUUCCAUAUAUUGGAGCUUUCCGGGCCAGCAUCAGUUUGAGUGGCAGGAUAAUUGCAUUGGAAUGUAGCACUUCUUCGGUUGUGUAUUAUAGACUUUGUCGAUACUGCCUAUUCAGACUGAGGACCGCGUCUUUGACUAGGAUGCUGGCGUAAUGAUCUUAAGCCGCCC
rnacentral:rRNA from 1 species